rnacentral:piRNA from 1 species
UAAGAAGAUGAGACAGCCCAGAUGAUGGCCAU